GACGAACGCUGGCGGCGUGCCUAAUACAUGCAAGUAGAACGCUGAAGGCGGUGCUUGCUUCUAUGGAUGACUUACGAAAGGGUAAGUCACGAGUAGGUAACCUGCCUGGUAGCGGGAAAUAACGAUUGGUAACGAUAGCAAAUACCACAUAAGAGUAGAUGUUGCAUGACAUUUGCUUACACGGUGCAAUUGCAUCACUACCAGAUGGAACUGCGUUGUAUUUGCUAGUUGGUGGGGUAACGGCUCACCAAGGCGACGAUACAUAGCCGACCGGAGAGGGUGGUCGGCGACACUGGAGCUGAGACGCGGCCCAUACUCCUACGAGAGGCAGCAGUAGGGAAUCUUCGGCAAUAGACGGAAGUCUGACAGAGCAACGCCGCGUGAGUGAAGAAGGUUCUCGGAUCGUAAGGCUCUGUUGUGAGUGGAGAACGGGUGUGAGAAUGGAAAAUUCACACUGUGACGGUAUCUUACCAGAAAGGGACGGCUAACUACGUG
rnacentral:rRNA from 1 species